GGGGUUGUUCCUGCGCGAGGUCGGGGGAGGUGUGUGUGCGCGCGGGGCGCCGUGGUAACUGUCGUCCUGGGCAGUGCCAGACAGGAUGGGGCCUCAUCUGGGCGGACGCGGGGGGCGGCGGGUUUGCUCUCCUUACUGGGUUAGCUAGGGGGAACCCGACUCCACGGGAGAUCCCCGUUCCUGGAGGUAACCGGUGCUGGCCAUAGGGCAGCCUCUGUCCCGGGCUGGAGCAUCGGUUGCCUCCUAGCUCUGCCGCCGAAAACUACUUGCUCGCCCUGCCUGCGUGGUGGGCUGAGGCUCGCUGCCUCAAGCGUUGUCUGCAGUCGCUAGUGAUAUGUUUGCUGUCAGCUACCACCCUUGCAGAUCAUGACAGAGAAUGAAUCAAGAACUGAGUGGACAGUGGAGAUCAAACCACCCCACUCAAUCCAGCCAUUUAAGCAGGCCUCUCCGCCUUUGCCAUAAGAUGUCGAAAUGACCCCAUGUAAAGAAAUUGCAUACUUCUAUGGAAAUAAAAUUUUCAUUUGGUACAGCAGUAAACUAACAUUAAUAUUCAAGACAUAUAACCAAUUUUGGAAAGUUAUUUUAUGUACUUAUUGUAGAGUGCCCUCUCUAUUCAAGAGCAGAGAGACAAAAGGAGGAGGAAGGAGCAAGAGAAGAAGCAGGAGAGUGCUGCACAAGAAACAGAGGAAGGUAUAUGGAACAUUGUGCAUUUUCUGAAACACCAAAUCUGAUUGACCACAAAAUCCAAGCAGUCUUCUUCAGACCACACAGCACACAUCUGUGGGCAAAUUUGCUUACUGUGUAUUUUACCCCCGACAUCUCCUACACAGAUGCUACAGCCAGUCUCCAAAUACAUUCCUCUCUGAACAGAAAGCAGAAUCAGAAGUUCACUGACUUUGUAGCAUUAGCUUUUGUGGCUUUUGUUCACCUCAUCUCUCACCUCUUGUUUGAAGAUGCAAAUCUGAAAACUAUUGUUAAUAUUAACUAGACUCUUCAGAUCUUCUGUUUUGUCCUGUUGGUUCCAUUUGGGCUUUAUAUUUCUCUAAAAUGCUUUUAUUCUUCUCUCAGGAUCCUCACUCUUUUUUUCUAUUGUUUGAUACUACUGUUAAUUAAAAUUUUGAUCUCCAUAACCAGAAACUGCCAUAGGAGCAUGCUUCAGAUUACCUAUAAAAGAGGAAAAUCACUGCAAAAUGUACAAAUGCAUGAGGCGCAGAUAUGAUGAGAUGCAUCUAACUCCCUCAAGACUUCUAGGACUUUUGAGUGUAAGAGCAGGCUAAAAACUAAGAAGGCUAGAACUCUCCUAGCAUUCAUCUACCUGUUGGUCAAUACACCUCUGUAUCACAUAUAAAACCAUGCCUCAGACUACCCAGUAUUAGUCAGAUUGCUCCAAGGUGGUCAGUGCUGCUUACUCUAGAGCCAAUUUGUCAGCAGCAGGUUAUUAGUAUUAGGAAUGUUUGUAUUGCACAAUGGUUCUGUCAACAUUUGCAGAUUUAUAUUAUGUGACUGAAGCAGCAACACUGUUGGUAUCUUGUGCAGAAGAUUGUCAAUCAUAGGACUUCAUCUCUAAACACGUAGUAUCACCAGAUUCCUAUUUAGAUCACCAGGAUCCAGAGGUUUUUUUCUUGCCACUUCUCCUACUGUGAUGGAGUUUUAAGAGUUGUUGUGUCAUCACAGACAUAGGUCCUUUGCUAGGGACAUAAAUCGUUGGUGUCUUCUGUACCAACCUCCGAUACCUUAUUCAUAAUUUCCAGGCCUUAAUGACUCCCUAGGAGUAUGUUUCACAAUACAGGAUUUGCUUCCAAUGCCUGAUCAUGAGACUUCCUUUCCCCCAUGAUUCUGAGAAGGAUUCUAUAGGUGUGCCCACAUUAGUAUUUUGACUUAGAUGAGGAGUGUGUUUAUUAAAUGAAUCUCACAAUUGUCCCCAUUUGUUGUGUAGGGGCAACACGGGCUGGCUGCUGCCUAAGGGAUGGGGAGGCAGAAGCUGAGCACAAUAGUACAGCCAGCAGGGCUGGCUCGCCAGGCAGGACCCAGUCCCAGAGUACCUGGGUGGGCAGGACAGACCAUGGCAUUGUGGCCAGGUUCAACCAAGAGUCAAGACUGCCCAGUAAGUUUGUGGUGAUAACACAGAUCACAGGUGAAGCCAGGAAAUCAAUCCACAGGCCAGGAUCAGGAUCAGAUCCAGUGACUGCUGGAUGGGUCCAUGGUGACAAGGAAGGUCUGAGGUCAAGGCAGGAAGUGAGUCCACAGGUUGGAAUCUGGAUCAGCUGGGAUCGCAGCCAGACACAGGCAUGGUGGUGGCUGAGCUAGAGAUUGGGUCUCCUCCAUUAUGGCUCAGACAGGGACUGAAGGCCCAGGGCUGAUCUUAAAUGGACUCCUGGGCCUAAGGGCAAGGUGGCUGGAGGCCCCAGGAAAGGCUGGUCAGGGCCAUUAAGGCCUCUAAGUGCCUUCUGUGCCCUGACACACUUUAAUUCACACUGUAGAAUGGUCUUGGAACACGAGCUGAAUUUCUUUUGGUUAAACUGGAAGGAGCGCACCUAAUAUAUGCCAGCUGUUAAUAGAUGUUCAGUCUAUAAGACCAGAUAGAGAUACAAAGUAAAAUCCCUGAAACACAUAGUGUGGACUGAAACAUCAGCACUGUUUUGUUCUUCAGAUCUGCUUCUAUCAUGUUGCACUACUGUAGACAUUGCCUAUAGGUACUUGAACAACUCAGCAACUCAUUAGUGCAACACUGGGUGAAGAUCUUCUAGAAAUAAAAUAAAAGAUUAUAGCAGAAUCUAUGACUGACAGCUGUAAGUCUUUUCAAGAUCUUCCGAAGUAAUCUCUUCUAGAGAUGUCUAAUCUCUUCUAGGGUAUGUAAACACUCUAGUAAUUGUAGUCUGAGGAAAAAAAAAUGUUUUUGCACUUCUUGCCUCUACCCUUAAACAAGGGUUUGCUAGAAGCAAUUUUGCUGAAGAGAAUCUGGGGGUCUUGGUGAAAAACAAGUUGGACAUAAGCCAGCAGUAGGCUCUUAUGUUGAAGAAGGCCAACUGCAUUAAGAAGAAUGUAGCCAGCAGAUUUACAUAAAUUUAAUUAAUUGGAAUAAAUGGAAUCAAUGAGUAGUAUCAUAUAAUAGGGAACUCAGGUCAUGAAAAGGCUAUGCUAUCUGCCGCUGCUGACAUUCAAUAGCUACUUUUCUCUUAUGUAGAAUAUGAGCUGAGUAUUAGGCCAACCCUGAAGUUUUCUUUUUGUUUAGAAAGUGGCUUCACGGCUUUCUGGGCAGCUGUGGAUGAAGAAUUUCAUCUUUCAGUGUCCCUGAAGAAGUAAUACAACAUAGUGGCUUCAUGGCCUAUAUAAGUGAGAUAAAAAGAACAGAAUUAGAUCUUAUAACACAUAAUCACCUUAAGUAUUUAGUUACUAUCAAAUAUGUGUGUAUUGCUAAAGGGAGGGGAUUUCUGCUCAUUUGUUAAAGAGAGAAUGAAUGAAUGACUCUAUUGUUAAUUAGAAUCAGAUUGCAAAAAGUAUUUGCAUUUGAAUAAAGAAACUUCAGAUUUAAAAGUCACUGUUCAGUCUUGCCUACCGUUGUGUGCA